rnacentral:pre_miRNA from 1 species
UAGCUUUAUCCUAAGUCAAACUUGCCUAACUUAUAUUAGAGCAAGUUUGUAGAAAAUAUAUUGAUAUCUAUAAUACCAAAUAAAUGCACUAUUUAACAUAUUUCAUGAUAAAUUUAAUGAAACUAAUUUGAUGUUGUACAUGUUGAUGCAUUUUUCUAUAAACUUAGGGAAGUUUGACUUAGGACAAAGCUUU